rnacentral:rRNA from 1 species
ACGCUGGCGGCAGGCCUAACACAUGCAAGUCGAGCGGUAGAGAGAAGCUUGCUUCUCUUGAGAGCGGCGGACGGGUGAGUAAUGCCUAGGAAUCUGCCUGGUAGUGGGGGAUAACGUUCGGAAACGGACGCUAAUACCGCAUACGUCCUACGGGAGAAAGCAGGGGACCUUCGGGCCUUGCGCUAUCAGAUGAGCCUAGGUCGGGUUAGCUAGUUGGUGAGGUAAUGGCUCACCAAGGCGACGAUCCGUAACUGGUCUGAGAGGAUGAUCAGUCACACUGGAACUGAGACACGGUCCAGACUCCUACGGGAGGCAGCAGUGGGGAAUAUUGGACAAUGGGCGAAAGCCUGAUCCAGCCAUGCCGCGUGUGUGAAGAAGGUCUUCGGAUUGUAAAGCACUUUAAGUUGGGAGGAAGGGCAUUAACCUAAUACGUUAGUGUUUUGACGUUACCGACAGAAUAAGCACCGGCUAACUCUGUGCCAGCAGCCGCGGUAAUACAGAGGGUGCAAGCGUUAAUCGGAAUUACUGGGCGUAAAGCGCGCGUAGGUGGUUUGUUAAGUUGGAUGUGAAAUCCCCGGGCUCAACCUGGGAACUGCAUUCAAAACUGACUGACUAGAGUAUGGUAGAGGGUGGUGGAAUUUCCUGUGUAGCGGUGAAAUGCGUAGAUAUAGGAAGGAACACCAGUGGCGAAGGCGACCACCUGGACUAAUACUGACACUGAGGUGCGAAAGCGUGGGGAGCAAAC